rnacentral:rRNA from 1 species
CGGCGGAGCAUGCGGAUUAAUUCGAUGCAACGCGAAGAACCUUACCAAGCUUGACAUAUAGAGGAAACGUCUGGAAACAGUCGCCCCGCAAGGUCUCUAUACAGGUGGUGCAUGGUUGUCGUCAGCUCGUGUCGUGAGAUGUUGGGUUAAGUCCCGCAACGAGCGCAACCCUCGUUCUAUGUUGCCAGCACGUAAUGGUGGGAACUCAUGGGAUACUGCCGGGGUCAACUCGGAGGAAGGUGGGGAUGACGUCAAAUCAUCAUGCCCCUUAUGUCUUGGGCUUCACGCAUGCUACAAUGGCCGGUACAGAGGGCUGCAAUACCGUAAGGUGGAGCGAAUCCCAAAAAGCCGGUCCCAGUUCGGAUUGAGGUCUGCAACUCGACCUCAUGAAGUCGGAGUCGCUAGUAAUCGCAGAUCAGCAACGCUGCGGUGAAUACGUUCCCGGGUCUU